GAUUGAAAUUUCAGCAUCCGAAUAUACAGUUACAUCAGAAGAGUCAGGAAUUCAGAAUUAUUUAUCCCAGUCACAACAAUCAGUCAGAAGUUAUGAAUGUUGCAGCUACUUGACAUCUUUGAAUGAUUUCCUGUCAUCUGUCAGAUUGCAGGAAUUCUCAGAAAAAAAAGAAAAACAUGGCAGUCCUACACAUAUAAAACAAGAAACACCUACAAAGAAAGAUUUGAUGAGAUUAUGAAAUUGAUAAUAGGAUUUUUAUUUCCAAACGAUGUUGACGAAGUUAUUGAAGAUAUAAAAUGUCCCAAGCAGUUAAAUGAAGGUCAUACGGAGUACAAAGAUAUUGUUACUUCAUACAGAAAAGCAAAAUCCUGGCAACAAGGGAGACAAGUUCCUUCAGUUCUUGCCUCAAGAAUGUCCUUCAAGGACUUACUGUCUCUACUACCAGAAGUAACAUCUCAUCGCUACUAUGCUGCACUCAGUCAUUCAAAGAACUUAGGGCCAGCACUUCCAAUUCCUGAGAAAAAAUUGCAUCGACAAAAAUUAGAUCUUGAAAGAUAAGACUCAUUCCUAGAUUUCAUUACAUCCAUUCAUGUUGUCCGUGAUCUACCUUUUGGGGAUGAAACAAAUGGAACAGUCCACAAUUUACCUAACGUUGUACGUUGCAUGGGUUCAGCAGACAUAAUACAGCAGUACAAAGCAUACUGUCAGGAAAAUGAAAUUUUACUUUUAGGCAAUAGACAAGUCAGCAAAAAUUGUAAAGUACAUAGUUCGUAUUAUAGAUGGAACUGAGUGUGGGAAAACCAAGUACACUGCU